UGUGUGUUCAGGUCUUCACAGCUGGCCUUGCUGUCCAGAGCCCACAUUCUCCAAGGGCCCCUCUGCAGCCCCAGUGUGUCACCCAGGGCUGCGGGCCUGUGCGCUCCAGCACUCAUGUCUACAGGCACUAAGGCUCAGAGUGCCAGCUCUUAACCUGGGAACACCAAAGCAUUGAGUUGGGGUAUACCCCCUCACUCCCUGACCUGCCAUGAGUACCAGGCCUCUCUGUUUUGUGGCCGCUUGUCUCUUGGGAACAGGUGAGUCCAGGUAACAGAUGGAAGCUUUUGAUGUGGGCUUUUCAAUUCCAGAUCCUCAGUAUUUCCUUCCUUUGGACUUGCACCAUGGCCAAGGCAAAAAUCUUAGUUACCGCCCAGAUACGCCACACGGGGGCACUGUGGGACGGCCGAGCUCCAAAUGUUUCUGGGGCAGAGCAAGCCGACCAGGAGGGUUAAAAGAACAGCCUUGUUUGGUGCUUUUGUUUGCUACAGAGCUUAAUAGCAUAAACGCUAAUUGGCAGGUGCCGUUCCAGCCGGGAGCCAUGAACUUCAGCUGUGCAAUGAGAAGGAUGCCCAGAACAUCAACCUGAGAGGACCAGAACUCUGAGCAGGGACACAGCACCCAGUGCUGCCCCACCCUGCCAUGGGCUCCAGGCUCCUCUGCUGUGUGGCCCUUUGUCUCCUGGGAGCAGGCCCAGUGGAUUCUGGAGUCACCCAAACACCAAGACACCUGGUAAAAGCAACAGGACAGACAGUGACACUGAGAUGUUUUCCUGUGUCUGGUCACCUCUCCAUGUACUGGUACCAGCAGUCCCCAGGCGAGGGCCCCCAGUUCCUUGUUGAGUAUUACAACGGGGAAGAG